UGGUAAUGUGCGUGGUCGAUACACUACCUCGUUUAACGACCGGACCUCAUCAAUGGGCCAACGAACUCUCCACUCCAUAGGCCGGCCCAGACCACAGGGAAGCGAGCCGGCGGCUCCGGCUCGGGCGGAGCUGAGGGACGCAGCUGCUCCUGAGCGGUCCACACGAGCGCCGAGUAGCGCCGUCUGCCCGAUAGCUCACCGCCGUAGCUCAUGCACGGCGAGCACUGCCGAUGCGGAACAGUCGGGGAUCACGAGGCCGCAACGUAUUCUGAUGUGCUCAAACGACUGCGGUCACAGCUCAGACAGCCUUCGGCCCAGAUUUUCCGCCUCGAAACUCAAGAAGCUCGCUGCGUAUCGUGCCUGAGGUGAGCUGGGAUCUCUUCCUCUCAGCUAGGCUGCCAGCUCCGUAUGUGCCUUGAAUGGCCUCACCGUCUCAGCUUCCUCCGUCUGCGCAGCGUGCCUCAGCCGGUCCCAGAGCGCCGUGCUGCCUCAGCGGCUCACUGAGAGCCCCCGCCGUCCACCCGGCGCCCGCUGACCGAGCUGACUGGCGAGCGGCGACGACUGCUCGUGAACUGAGUCGCCGGCUCCGCUCCGGCCGCGGCGGGAAGCGCCCGUGUCGGUCCGCCGCCCGUACCGCGGCUAUUAGCGCCGGCUGGCUGACGGGGCCGCCCGUCAGCCGAGUGGAACCUCACGGUCACGAACGGGCUGAGUAUAGAGAGACAGUGUAGACCACGCCCGGUGUCGGGCAGCACGGCAGAGUACGAGGGCGGGUUGUGGUAAUGAAGGGGCGUGUGUGUGCUCUCAGCCAGAACUCCAUCUGAAAAUGUAGGAAUGAAUCAGGUUAAAUGAUAGGCGAGGAAAGAUCAGCUGGGGCAGCUCAGACACGAAGGCAAAGACGAGUCUACUUAGCUUCAUCUUCUCUCGAACAGUGCAGAGAACACGCGAUAUUUGGUGCAAAACGAAUACUCAUAGCCAUUAUUACACCUUCCUGACGAUAGGUCACUGCCGUUCACAUGCGAUACAAUAGCUAUUGCGUAACAGCGGACACAGCAGCACCAGGGGCACUUACCUUUCCAUCUCGAUUGUGUGGACCGUGAACGCACCUUGUUGCACGCACGAGCUGUCUUUAGACAAACAUCGGAACUAAAAAACAACGCAGUCGUGCAAAUGGCACUGCAUUCGUUUCGCAGUUUGCAUUCGUUCACAAUUAUUUCGCAAUGCCACGCCUUUCGGGCGUCACCCAGGCUGCAAAAUUUAUGAACUGAAUGCUUGAAAUCAAGUAUCCGUCGGGAACAAUUAGGCGACAGCAUUUCAAUGUCACAUGAUAGGGCAGUUAGGUACGUCACAACGUGUAACACUACGGAUUCCAAAUGCAAUAAUAAUUUGUGUUGAUUGUCACAUCGAUUGCAAUACAACCAGUAGAGCGCU